rnacentral:rRNA from 1 species
GCGUGGAGACAGGUGGUGCAUGGCCGUCGUCAGCUCGUGUCGUGAGAUGUUGGGUUAAGUCCCGCAACGAGCGCAACCCUCACCCCUAGUUGCCACCGGGUAAAGCCGAGCACUCGAGGGGAACUGCCAGCGUCAAGCUGGAGGAAGGCGGGGAUGACGUCAAGUCAUCAUGCCUCUUACGCCCUGGGCUACACACGUGCUACAAUGGCCGGUACAAAGGGGCGCGAGACUGCAAAGUGGAGCUAAUCCCAAAAAACCGGUCUAAGUUCAGAUUGCAGUCUGCAACUCGACUGCAUGGAGGAGGAAUCGCUAGUAAUCGCGCAUCAGCACGGCGCGGUGAAUACGUUCCCGGGCCUUGUACACACCGCCCGUCACACCACGAAAGCUGUCUGUACUCGAAGUCGCUGAG